AGUGAACGCUGGCGGUAGGCCUAACACAUGCAAGUCGAACGGCAGCACAGUAAGAGCUUGCUCUUACGGGUGGCGAGUGGCGGACGGGUGAGGAAUACAUCGGAAUCUACUUUUUCGUGGGGGAUAACGUAGGGAAACUUACGCUAAUACCGCAUACGACCUACGGGUGAAAGCAGGGGAUCUUCUGACCUUGCGCGAUUGAAUGAGCCGAUGUCGGAUUAGCUAGUUGGCGGGGUAAAGGCCCACCAAGGCGACGAUCCGUAGCUGGUCUGAGAGGAUGAUCAGCCACACUGGAACUGAGACACGGUCCAGACUCCUACGGGAGGCAGCAGUGGGGAAUAUUGGACAAUGGGCGCAAGCCUGAUCCAGCCAUCCCGCGUGGGUGAAGAAGGCCUUCGGGUUGUAAAGCCCUUUUGUUGGGAAAGAAAAGCAGCAGGUUAAUACCCCGCUGUUCUGACGGUACCCAAAGAAUAAGCACCGGCUAACUUCGUG
rnacentral:rRNA from 1 species